AUUGAACGCUGGCGGCAGGCCUAACACAUGCAAGUCGAGCGGAUGAAGGGAGCUUGCUCCUGGAUUCAGCGGCGGACGGGCGAGUAAUGCCUAGGAAUCUGCCUGGUCGUGGGGGAUAACGUCCGGACACGGGCGCUAAUACCGCAUACGUCCUGAUGGAGAAAGUGGGGGAUCUUCGGACCUCACGCUAUCUGAUGAGCCUAGGACGGAUUAGCUAGUUGGUGGGGUAAAGGCCUACCAAGGCGACGAUCCGUAACUGGUCUGAGAGGAUGAUCAGUCACACUGGAACUGAGACACGGUCCAGACUCCUACGGGAGGCAGCAGUGGGGAAUAUUGGACAAUGGGCGAAAGCCUGAUCCAGCCAUGCCGCGUGUGUGAAGAAGGUCUUCGGAUUGUAAAGCACUUUAAGUUGGGAGGAAGAGCAGUAAGUUAAUACCUUGCUGUUUUGACGUUACCAACAGAAUAAGCACCGGCUAACUUCGUG
rnacentral:rRNA from 1 species